rnacentral:rRNA from 1 species
CCUACGGGAGGCAGCAGUGGGGAAUAUUGGGCAAUGGAGGAAACUCUGACCCAGCGACGCCGCGUGCGGGAUGAAGGCCUUCGGGUUGUAAACCGCUUUCAGUAGGGAAGAAGCGAAAGUGACGGUACCUACAAAAGAAGCACCGGCUAACUAUGUGCCAGCAGCCGCGGUAAUACAUAGGGUGCAAGCGUUGUCCGGAAUUAUUGGGCGUAAAGAGCUCGUAGGUCGUUUGUUACGUCGGAUGUGAAAACCUGAGGCUCAACCUCAGGCCUGCAUUCGAUACGGGCAAACUAGAGUUUGGUAGGGGAGACUGGAAUUCCUGGUGUAGCGGUGGAAUGCGCAGAUAUCAGGAGGAACACCAAUGGCGAAGGCAGGUCUCUGGGCCAAUACUGACACUGAGGGGCGAAAGUCUGGGGAGCGAACAGGAUUAGAUACCCUGGUAGUCCAGACCGUAAACGGUGGGCACUAGUUGUGGGAACCUUCCACGGUUUCUGCGACGCAGCUAACGCAUUAAGUGCCCCGCCUGGGGAGUACGAUCGCAAGNUUAAAACUCAAAGGAAUUGACGG